ACCAGCCAGCCACAGGCAUCCAUCUAACUGACCGGGCCAAUGAAAGACGAGAGCCAGCAGCGGCAUGUGCUGGAAAGAACACAACACCAGAGAUGAGCUGAUUUGAUUCCAGAGGACUGAAGUAUCUAAAUGCAACAUCCAGGCCAGGCAUGCCCUGGCAAAGGACAGCCCCUUCUCAACAUGUGAAGCGUGGGACGAAGGUCCCGAUCUGAGGAAUUCGGAUCCUUUCUUGCAUGAGCCGUGGAUCUGAGUUU
rnacentral:lncRNA from 1 species